rnacentral:rRNA from 1 species
UGAGAGUGGGAGUGCUCGAAAGAGAACCGGCGCACAGGUGCUGCAUGGCUGUCGUCAGCUCGUGUCGUGAGAUGUUGGGUUAAGUCCCGCAACGAGCGCAACCCUUAUCGUUAGUUGCUACCAUUAAGUUGAGCACUCUAGCGAGACUGCCCGGGUUAACCGGGAGGAAGUGGGGAUGACGUCAAGUCAGCAUGGCCUUUAUAUCCUGGGCUACACACACGCUACAAUGGAAGGGACAAUAGGUUGCGAAGCCGCGAGGCGGAGCCAAUCCAGCAAAAACUUCCCUCAGUUCAGAUUGCAGGCUGCAACUCGCCUGCUUAUGAAGUUGGAGUUGCUAGUAAACGCAGGUCAGCCAUACUGCGUUGAAUACGUUCCCGGGGCUU